UGAGUAACACGUGGGCAAUCUGCCCUGCACUCUGGGACAAGCCCUGGAAACGGGGUCUAAUACCGGAUACGAGUUUCACAGGCAUCUGUGAUUCUGGAAAGCUCCGGCGGUGCAGGAUGAGCCCGCGGCCUAUCAGCUUGUUGGUGAGGUAACGGCUCACCAAGGCGACGACGGGUAGCCGGCCUGAGAGGGCGACCGGCCACACUGGGACUGAGACACGGCCCAGACUCCUACGGGAGGCAGCAGUGGGGAAUAUUGCACAAUGGGCGAAAGCCUGAUGCAGCGACGCCGCGUGAGGGAUGACGGCCUUCGGGUUGUAAACCUCUUUCAGCAGGGAAGAAGCGAGAGUGACGGUACCUGCAGAAGAAGCGCCGGCUAACUACGUGCCAGCAGCCGCGGUAAUACGUAGGGCGCAAGCGUUGUCCGGAAUUAUUGGGCGUAAAGAGCUCGUAGGCGGCUUGUCGCGUCGGUUGUGAAAGCCCGGGGCUUAACCCCGGGUCUGCAGUCGAUACGGGCAGGCUAGAGUUCGGUAGGGGAGAUCGGAAUUCCU
rnacentral:rRNA from 1 species